ensembl:snRNA U6 U6 spliceosomal RNA
UUGACCCCCCCCCAAAAAAAGUUAAGUGAAACCAUACAGAGAAGACUGGCACAGCCCCUGUGAAAGGAUGAUACACAAAUUCAGGUCUGGUCCGCUACUACU